rnacentral:rRNA from 1 species
CUUCCGGAGCUAACGCGUUAAGUCGACCGCCUGGGGAGUACGGCCGCAAGGUUAAAACUCAAAUGAAUUGACGGGGGCCCGCACAAGCGGUGGAGCAUGUGGUUUAAUUCGAUGCAACGCGAAGAACCUUACCUGGCCUUGACAUCCACGGAAUUCGGCAGAGAUGCCUUAGUGCCUUCGGGAACCGUGAGACAGGUGCUGCAUGGCUGUCGUCAGCUCGUGUUGUGAAAUGUUGGGUUAAGUCCCGCAACGAGCGCAACCCUUAUCCUUUGUUGCCAGCACGUAAUGGUGGGAACUCAAAGGAGACUGCCGGUGAUAAACCGGAGGAAGGUGGGGAUGACGUCAAGUCAUCAUGGCCCUUACGGCCAGGGCUACACACGUGCUACAAUGGCGCAUACAAAGAGAAGCGACCUCGCGAGAGCAAGCGGACCUCAUAAAGUGCGUCGUAGUCCGGAUCGGAGUCUGCAACUCGACUCCGUGAAGUCGGAAUCGCUAGUAAUCGUAGAUCAGAAUGCUAC